rnacentral:ncRNA from 1 species
AUGAGUAACGUAGAAAGGAGUUAAAACACUCCUCGCCGAAUACGAGAGGGUUUCAUGGAGAAGUUAAUCUGCCAUGAGUUAUACGGACUCUAAGGGUUAUAGGCGAAUGUCUAUAUCUGAUGAGAAUAAUUAUAAUUACACUGAACUAUCUAUAUAUAAUAACUACUUAUCUGUAUGAAAAUUUGCAGAGAAAGGGUUAGAUCGAGAAAAUUAAGUGUCACUAUUUUAUAGUGAAUCCGUACCCUAAACCGACACAGGUUCGUAGGUAGAGAAUACUAAGGCGUAGAGAUAAUGCUUGUGAAGGAACUCGGCAAAUUGUGCCCGUAAGUUAGACGAUAAGGGUAACCAGAAUAAAUAAUUAUAUUUAAAUUCUGAGUGUCACAAAAUCGAGGGCUGCGACUGUUUACCAAAAACACAGCAACUUGCUAAGACGAAUAGUACUUGUAUAAGUUGUGAACUCUGCCCAAUGCCAUGUCGUGUAAAGAAGGUGAUCUAUUUACUAGUUUCUAGUAAAUAAUGUCACUAACUGAUGCCAUGGUGAAUGGCGGUCUUAACUAUAAGGAUCUGAAAGUAGCGAAAUUCCUUGGCCAUUAAAUGUGGUCCUGCAUGAAUGAGGUAACGUGGCCCUGCUGUCUCCACAAGCAUCUCAGUGAAAUU